rnacentral:rRNA from 1 species
CUUUAUUGGAGAGUUUGAUCCUGGCUCAGGAUGAACGCUGGCGGCGUGCCUAAUACAUGCAAGUCGAGCGA